CUGGUCUGGCUGAGCUUUAGUGUCAUGGAGGUUAACGAGAGGCUAGUCUGGUCUGGCUGAGCUUUAGUGUCAUGGAGGUUAACGAGAGGCUUGUCUGGUCUGGCUGAGCUUUAGUGUCAUGGAGGUUAACGAGAGGCUUGUCUGGUCUGGCUGAGCUUUAGUGUCAUGGAGGUUAACGAGAGGCUAGUCUGGUCUGGCUGAGCUUUAGUGUCAUGGAGGUUAACGAGAGGCUUGUCUGGUCUGGCUGAGCUUUAGUGUCAUGGAG